UGUUAAAAAUUUCAUCUAUUUUAUUGUUAAAAGUUGGCGUGAUUGAUAGAAUAACCAAACAAUUAUACGUAGCAAACUACGCGUACCUCAUUCUGAUGUACAAUGACCAAUUUUUAACACUAAAAACAUGGAUGAAAUUUUUAACA
rfam:Gossypium hirsutum cultivar TM-1 unplaced genomic scaffold scaffold587.1, whole genome shotgun sequence